rnacentral:misc_RNA from 1 species
UUAAUUAGAUGUUAUUUAAAUUGUAUAAAAAUAUUUAAAUAAUAUUAUCUUUUUGGGUAAAUAUUGAAUAAGUAUAAUAAUAAAAUGCUUUAAUAACUUAAAAUAAAAAAAAAUUAAUGAGAUUUAUCUCAAUUGUAUUGGAGUUGUAAAAAAUGUAAGAUUUCAAUUUGGCAAUUGGAACCCAUUGAAUCAAUGAAAAUUUAAAAUAAAAAGUCAAAAUUAAAAUACACAUACAAUCGAAAUAAACUAAUAGUAAUAUUAGCAUUCCAACUUCUUAUAUGAGACCAUAUUGGAUAAGUUAUUUGAUAUGAACUUAGGAGAAUCGCACCCCAAAGGCUAGCUAUUGAGGUUUGAGAGCCCAAGUCCAUAUAUACCAAUGUGACACAAGGUUUCUUGCAAUGAGAUCGUAACAUUAUUCUUAUGAUUCAAUAAUUUAACAUUAAAAAUAUAGAAGUUAAAGAAAAAAAUGGUGUGGCUAUUAUUGUUGCCAACUGCUGAGUCCAUAAAAAAUUGAAAUGGUUGAAUAACUUAUUUAAAAUGUGCCUUCAGUUUUGGGCCUCUUGAGAAAAAAAAUAUAUAUAUAGUGCGGCACUGUUAGAGGAACAAUGCCAAUUCUUUCCAUUUAAGUACAUAUAAUAAAAUAAUUACGUGGCACUU